rnacentral:rRNA from 1 species
AGUGAACGCUGGCGGUAGGCCUAACACAUGCAAGUCGAACGGCAGCACAGUAAGAGCUUGCUCUUACGGGUGGCGAGUGGCGGACGGGUGAGGAAUACAUCGGAAUCUACUUUUUCGUGGGGGAUAACGUAGGGAAACUUACGCUAAUACCGCAUACGACCUACGGGUGAAAGCAGGGGAUCUUCGGACCUUGCGCGAUUGAAUGAGCCGAUGUCGGAUUAGCUAGUUGGCGGGGUAAAGGCCCACCAAGGCGACGAUCCGUAGCUGGUCUGAGAGGAUGAUCAGCCACACUGGAACUGAGACACGGUCCAGGCUCCUACGGGAGGCAGCAGUGGGGAAUAUUGGACAAUGGGCGCAAGCCUGAUCCAGCCAUACCGCGUGGGUGAAGAAGGCCUUCGGGUUGUAAAGCCCUUUUGUUGGGAAAGAAAAGCAGCAGGUUAAUACCCCGCUGUUCUGACGGUACCCAAAGAACAAGCACCGGCUAACUUCGUG